rnacentral:rRNA from 1 species
GGUCAAGCGAAUAAGUGCAUGUGGUGGAUGCCUUGGCGAUCACAGGCGAUGAAGGACGUAGUAGCUUGCGAAAAGCUGCGGGGAGCUGGCAAACGAGCUUUGAUCCGCAGAUGUCCGAAUGGGGAAACCCGGCCCGUAUGGGUCAUCCCUUGCUGAAUACAUAGGCAAGGGAGGCGAACGCAGUGAACUGAAACAUCUAAGUAGCUGCAGGAAAAGAAAUCAACCGAGAUUCCCAAAGUAGUGGCGAGCGAAAUGGGAACAGCCUUGUACUCUUUAGCAGUAUUGUUAGCGGAACGGAAUGGAAAGUCCGGCCAUAGUGGGUGAUAGCCCCGUACGCGAAAACAGUAUUGUGGAACUAGGUGUACGACAAGUAGGGCGGGACACGUGAAAUCCUGUCUGAAGAUGGGGGGACCAUCCUCCAAGGCUAAAUACUCGUGAUCGACCGAUAGUGAACCAGUACCGUGAGGGAAAGGCGAAAAGAACCCCGGGAGGGGAGUGAAAUAGAUCCUGAAACCGCAUGCAUACAAACAGUCGGAGCCUGGAAACGGGUGACGGCGUACCUUUUGUAUAAUGGGUCAGCGACUUACAUUCAGUGGCAAGCUUAACCGAUUAGGGAAGGCGUAGCGAAAGCGAGUCCGAAUAGGGCGUUCAGUCGCUGGGUGUAGACCCGAAACCAAGUGAUCUAUCCAUGGCCAGGUUGAAGGUGCGGUAACACGUACUGGAGGACCGAACCCACUAACGUUGAAAAGUUAGGGGAUGAGCUGUGGAUAGGGGUGAAAGGCUAAACAAACUUGGAAAUAGCUGGUUCUCUCCGAAAACUAUUUAGGUAGUGCCUCGUGUCUCACCUUCGGGGGUAGAGCACUGUCAUGGUUGGGGGGUCUAUUGCUGAUUACCCCGCCAUAGCAAACUCCGAAUACCGAAGAGUGCAAUCACGGGAGACAGACAUCGGGUGCUAACGUCCGGUGUCAAGAGGGAAACAACCCAGACCGCCAGCUAAGGUCCCUAAGAUUGGCUAAGUGGGAAACGAAGUGGGAAGGCUAAAACAGUCAGGAGGUUGGCUUAGAAGCAGCCACCCUUUAAAGAAAGCGUAAUAGCUCACUGAUCGAGUCGUCCUGCGCGGAAGAUGUAACGGGGCUAAGCCAGUCACCGAAGCUGCGGAUGCACGUAAGUGCAUGGUAGGAGAGCGUUCUGUAAGCCUGUGAAGGUGUCUUGUAAAGGAUGCUGGAGGUAUCAGAAGUGCGAAUGCUGACAUGAGUAGCGAUAAAGGGGUGAAAGGCCCCCUCGCCGUAAGCCCAAGGUUUCCUACGCAACGUUCAUCGGCGUAGGGUGAGUCGGCCCCUAAGGCGAGGCAGAGAUGCGUAGCUGAUGGGAAGCAGGUUAAUAUUCCUGCACCGUCGUAUGAUGCGAUGGGGGGACGGAUCGCGGAAGGUUGUCCGGGUGUUGGAAGUCCCGGUCCCUACAUUGGAGAUGGCACUUAGGCAAAUCCGGGUGCGUGAUUCAAGGGUGUGGGGCGAGCGACGUUAGGUCGCGAAGCAAUUGGAAGUGGUUCCAAGAAAAGCCUCUAAGCUUCAGUCAUACGAGACCGUACCGCAAACCGACACAGGUGGGCGAGAUGAGUAUUCUAAGGCGCUUGAGAGAACUCGGGAGAAGGAACUCGGCAAAUUGGUACCGUAACUUCGGGAUAAGGUACGCCCUUGUAGUUUGACUGGCUCGCGCCAGAAGGAUGAAGGGGUUGCAAUAAAAUGGUGGCUGCGACUGUUUAAUAAAAACACAGCACUCUGCAAACACGAAAGUGGACGUAUAGGGUGUGACGCCUGCCCGGUGCCGGAAGAUUAAAUGAUGGGGUGCAAGCUCUUGAUUGAAGUCCCGGUAAACGGCGGCCGUAACUAUAACGGUCCUAAGGUAGCGAAAUUCCUUGUCGGGUAAGUUCCGACCUGCACGAAUGGCGUAACGAUGGCCACACUGUCUCCUCCCGAGACUCAGCGAAGUUGAAGUGUUUGUGAUGAUGCAAUCUCCCCGCGGCUAGACGGAAAGACCCCAUGAACCUUUACUGUAGCUUUGCAUUGGACUUUGAACCGAUCUGUGUAGGAUAGGUGGGAGGCUUUGAAACCGGGACGCUAGUUUCGGUGGAGCCGACCUUGAAAUACCACCCUGGUUUGUUUGAGGUUCUAACCUUGGCCCGUGAAUCCGGGUCGGGGACAGUGCAUGGUAGGCAGUUUGACUGGGGCGGUCUCCUCCCAAAGUGUAACGGAGGAGUUCGAAGGUACGCUUGGUACGGUCGGACAUCGUACCUAAAGUGCAAUGGCAAAAGCGUGCUUAACUGCGAGACCGACAAGUCGAGCAGGUGCGAAAGCAGGACAUAGUGAUCCGGUGGUUCUGUAUGGAAGGGCCAUCGCUCAACGGAUAAAAGGUACUCUGGGGAUAACAGGCUGAUACCGCCCAAGAGUUCAUAUCGACGGCGGUGUUUGGCACCUCGAUGUCGGCUCAUCUCAUCCUGGGGCUGUAGCCGGUCCCAAGGGUAUGGCUGUUCGCCAUUUAAAGAGGUACGUGAGCUGGGUUUAAAACGUCGUGAGACAGUUUGGUCCCUAUCUGCCGUGGGCGUUGGAAUCUUGACGGGGGCUGCUCCUAGUACGAGAGGACCGGAGUGGACGUACCGCUGGUGUACCUGUUGUCUCGCCAGAGGCAUCGCAGGGUAGCUAUGUACGGAAGAGAUAACCGCUGAAAGCAUCUAAGCGGGAAACUCGCCUGAAGAUGAGGAUUCCCUGGAGACUUGAUCUCCCUGAAGGGUCGUUCGAGACCAGGACGUUGAUAGGCUGGGUGUGGAAGCGCAGUAAUGCGUUCAGCUAACCAGUACUAAUUGCCCGUGCGGCUUGAUCCU